GAUGAACGCUGGCGGCGUGCCUAAUACAUGCAAGUCGAGCGAACAGAUAAGGAGCUUGCUCCUUUGACGUUAGCGGCGGACGGGUGAGUAACACGUGGGUAACCUACCUAUAAGACUGGGAUAACUUCGGGAAACCGGAGCUAAUACCGGAUAACAUUUGGAACCGCAUGGUUCUAAAGUGAAAGAUGGUUUUGCUAUCACUUAUAGAUGGACCCGCGCCGUAUUAGCUAGUUGGUAAGGUAACGGCUUACCAAGGCAACGAUACGUGGCCGACCUGAGAGGGUGAUCGGCCACACUGGAACUGAGACACGGUCCAGACUCCUACGGGAGGCAGCAGUAGGGAAUCUUCCGCAAUGGGCGAAAGCCUGACGGAGCAACGCCGCGUGAGUGAUGAAGGGUUUCGGCUCGUAAAACUCUGUUAUUAGGGAAGAACAAACGUGUAAGUAACUGUGCACGUCUUGACGGUACCUAAUCAGAAAGCCACGGCUAACUACGUG
rnacentral:rRNA from 1 species